GACGAACGCUGGCGGCGUGCUUAACACAUGCAAGUCGAACGGAAAGGCCCUGCUUGCAGGGUACUCGAGUGGCGAACGGGUGAGUAACACGUGGGUGAUCUGCCCUGCACUUCGGGAUAAGCCUGGGAAACUGGGUCUAAUACCGGAUAGGAGCCAUUUUUAGUGUGAUGGUUGGAAAGUUUUUUCGGUGUAGGAUGAGCUCGCGGCCUAUCAGCUUGUUGGUGGGGUAAUGGCCUACCAAGGCGGCGACGGGUAGCCGGCCUGAGAGGGUGGACGGCCACAUUGGGACUGAGAUACGGCCCAGACUCCUACGGGAGGCAGCAGGGGGGAAUAUUGCACAAUGGGCGCAAGCCGGAUGCAGCGACGCCGCGUGGGGGAUGACGGCCUUCGGGUUGUAAACUCCUUUCGCUAGGGACGAAGCUUUUUGUGACGGUACCUAGAUAAGAAGCACCGGCUAACUACGUG
rnacentral:rRNA from 1 species